AAGUCGUAACAAGGUCUCCGUAGGUGAACCUGCGGAGGGAUCAUUAACAAAUCUACACACAUACCAUGUGUUACUGUCCGUUCCGGGAGUGGGUGCAGUGCCCGGAACACCCUCAGAUACGCGAUUGUCAUGUAUUGUUGGGUUGUAUUGGGUAACACCAUUACACACACACAUAUAUAUAUAACACAAACAACUUUUAACAAUGGAUCUCUUGGCUCUU
rnacentral:misc_RNA from 1 species